CCUAAAAAAAGAAAACAGAAUUAGUUGAAUAGUCUGAAUUAGCUAUAGUCGUUUUGCUUGGCUUUCAACUGCCCAAUUAGCAAAUGAGCUUGUGGAGUCAAAGCUUAAAUAUCAAAGCAGCAGAGAAAUUGACUAACUGGACUUUGAAGGAUGCUUUGCAUUCUCACUAACUCUUUUUUCUUGGCGCUUUUCUGAUUCGUAUGCCCACUGGAGGUACUAGGAAGGGUUUUCUUUCUUUGGGUUCACUGUGUUAAUUUAUUGUGAAUAUGUUUUUAGUGCAUUAAGAUUAGGGAAUUUGUAUUGUUUCUUUAAUCGUUAUGUUGUGUACAUAUGAUAUUUUGCUUGUAGAUUCUGUUAACAGUCCCAAUUUGGGAGGAAUGGGUUAUUGUGAAUAAUGUUUUUUUUUUUUUUUUUUUUUUU
rnacentral:misc_RNA from 1 species